rnacentral:misc_RNA from 1 species
CGGCUCAUUGGGUAUUGUUUCUGA